rnacentral:rRNA from 1 species
AGAGCGAACGCUGGCGGCAGGCCUAACACAUGCAAGUCGAGCGCCCGUAGCAAUACGGGAGCGGCAGACGGGAUAGUAACACGUGGGAACGCGCCCUUCGGUUCGGAAUAACUCAGGGAAACUUGAGCUAAUACCGGAUACGCCCUUACGGGGAAAGAUUUAUUGCCGAAGGAACGGCCCGCGUCCGAUUAGCUAGUUGGUGAGGUAAUGGCUCACCAAGGCGACGAUCGGUAGCUGGUCUGAGAGGAUGACCAGCAUCACUGGGACUGAGACACGGCCCAGACUCCUACGGGAGGCAGCAGUGGGGAAUAUUGCGCAAUGGGCGAAAGCCUGACGCAGCGACGCCGCGUGGGGGAUGAAUGCCUUCGGGUUGUAAACCCCUUUCAGCAGGGACGAAGCGAAAGUGACGGUACCUGCAGAAGAAGCGCCGGCUAACUACGUGCCAGCAGCCGC